GAAUGCUGACAUAAGUAACGAUAAAGCGGGUGAAAAGCCCGCUCGCCGGAAGACCAAGGGUUCCUGUCCAACGUUAAUCGGGGCAGGGUGAGUCGACCCCUAAGGCGAGGCCGAAAGGCGUAGUCGAUGGGAAACGGGUUAAUAUUCCCGUACUUGGUGUUACUGCGAAGGGGGGACGGAGAAGGCUAUGUUGGCCGGGCGACGGUUGUCCCGGUUUAAGCGUGUAGGUGUGUGUUCCAGGUAAAUCCGGUUCACUUUAACACUGAGGCGUGAUGACGAGGCGCUACGGUGCUGAAGCAACAAAUGCCCUGCUUCCAGGAAAAGCCUCUAAGCAUCAGGUAACAUCAAAUCGUACCCCAAACCGACACAGGUGGUCAGGUAGAGAAUACCAAGGCGCUUGAGAGAACUCGGGUGAAGGAACUAGGCAAAAUGGUGCCGUAACU
rnacentral:rRNA from 1 species